rnacentral:pre_miRNA from 10 species
AUACAAAUUGCACUGAGAUCUUCUUAAAACGCAGAAUCUGAUUCUGGGGCUGGAACCUGAGGUUCUGCAUUUCUAACAGGUUCACAGGCAAUGUCAAU